rnacentral:misc_RNA from 1 species
CGACUCUGCCUUCGUGCCGUCAGGGCAGGAGUCAUCUUUCUCUCUUCCUCUCUCUCUGCCGGUUCACGAUUGCGUAGGCGUACCGACGCAUAGCGAAACACACAAGCACAACGAGAUACACGGGGCUGCAUGUAGUGGCGUUUUGCGCGGUAGCGUCUGUCUUUGUCUCGCGCGUACGUUCUCUGUGAAGAGGCUCCAGUGCGUGUACGACCACCAAGCCGUGUAGGGUCUCCCGGGUGUCUUACAUACCGCGGGCGUGGAUUGACGGAAUGAGCCGAGCGUGCAGUGGCGGCAGGAGUGCUGAGCAGCUAGAACGACUCGCUCGGCUCAGCGAGGACAAUGCCUUUGUCGACGUGGGGGCGACUCUGAAGCGCAUCGGCGGCGAAGACGCGUGGGAGAGCACUGUGGGCGGCGAUGGAACCUUUGAUGGGCCAGCGUCAUCCAUUAUCGGUUUGCUUUCCAGCAGUGGAGGAGCAUCGACAGCGUCUGGCGCCACUGCGGCGGCGGCCGGUGGGAAGCGAGGGCAGGCACGAAAAGGGACGCGAGCGUCAGAGGACGCGCUCCUCAACGGCUCACGCAUCCCGCUCACCGCGAGUCUGCAGGACCAGCACAAGGCCUACCUCGAAUCGGUGCGCGCGGCGGCAAAGGAGUGGGAGGAAGUAAUCUGCAGCAGCAGCGGCGAUGACGGUAGCGCCGCAGACUCUGCAGAUGGGGAUGACAAAGGCGUCAAUCGCAUCGGAGGCGUGCAGACUGCCGAAAGACGUGGAGUCGGCCCCAAAGCAAGGCGAGGGGGCCCGAAGGCAAAGGCGUUCUCGGCAGAGACGCUGCCACCAGCAUCGCUGUCAUCUUGGGGGCACCCUUCUGAGAUGGUGACGGUGACGUCGGUCCGACGAAGCCCUGCGGAUGGCGCGGCGGUGGCGAGGAAGCGUCCGCGAGGAGCACAGCGCGCCUGCCGCGACACAGCCGAUGCCGAGGCGGAGAGGAAGGUCAACUCUGCGGCACAGUCGGCGAGGCCGGAUCCGUGCAGCUCACUGGUAGCGAAGCUGAAAGCAGAGCUCCGCCUCGUUCGGCAGUGGGAGCGCACCAUGCUGGAGUUCCCCCCACAGAUAGUUAACGGCGUUCUCUCUCCCGAGUCGCGCGCGCCAUGGGCGCAGGCGUCGUCGACUUCACGCAAGACAGACGCGGCGACGGUGUCGAGCGAGGCGAAGUAUGUCGACAGUGACGACGACACAGAGGUGCUGCCGCACCCUCUAUUACAAGUGUACAGUCUCUGUCCGAGCUACGAAGCACUCACGGCGGGACCAGUGCACAGACGCGACGUCGUACGGUGCGCGACGACGGAGGAGGGGUGGGGGCACAAAGAGAAGCCUCGACGAAGUUUGUUGGCGCCGUCUCCCACGCCAACAGAAGCAGCCACAAGGACCGUGCACGUUGCCGGCUUCACGUUUGCCGUACCUGAGCAAGUCUUCGGCAGCCGAAAACGCCGCAGCCGACGGAAGGAAAACGAUUCGGGCCAUGCCACCGGAUUGGCGAACGGCGGGCAGGUGGAUUUCAUCGACCCAGGGAGCGAGGACGCCGUGCAGGGAGAGCGAGAACACCACCUCUGUUCGGUAUGCAUGCUGCCUGCGUCAUAUCGAUGCUUGCGCUGUCGCACCGCUCUGUUCUGCUCGAUCGACUGCCACGUGCUGCACGACGCGACGCGCUGCUUGAAGUUCACUGUGUAGCGACUGAUGGACCAACUGCAGGCUUCACUACUCUAGGGAACGAGGGAGGGCAGGGGCGAAGAAAAGGGUGCGAAAGGUGCAGCAAAGGAAAAGGCUCAACGCGCACGGCCCGUGUGCGCUGACUCUGGACGUGGCAUCGCUGCAGCUUCUCUCUCUGAGUCGGGUUGUCCUGCCUUCUUCGUACGCGGUGUUGCUGCUGCUGGUGGGUGACGGUGUUUUGGCGUGCCCUGCUGUCCUUCUUCCGAAGGUCUGCUCUGCUCUCCUCUUUUUUGUGUGUUGUUUGAGUGUUUGGCGCUUCCGCACGCAUCAUUCUUUUCGCCUCCCCCUCCCCCACUCCUCUUCCUAUAUACCCCGCGUGUGUGUGUGUGUGGGGAUAUUAGCCUCUAUCAGAGCAUUGCGUGAGUAAGCGUGGCGGCGUUCAUGUGCGUACAUGGCAGCUCCUCAGCUGCUAGUACCGCAGCGGUCCGACCCGCUCGCUCUCCCAUCCCCUCUGCUACUGCUGUCCGGUGAGCACGCUCAACGUGCACCGUUCG